UUAACAAGUGGUUUCAGGUCCCUAAUUCUGUUCCCCAUGUCACUCUUUAUAUGGGAAAAGAUUUUGGUCCCCUGAUGGCAAAAGCAGAAAGAUGUAAAUGGGAUGAUACAGAAAAUCCCUUAGUUUUUCUAUCAAAAGAUUAGUCAUAUGUUAAGAUUUUGUGUACUACUCUCAUGACAGGAAUUCCACAGGUAGUGGUGAUCACUGAAAAAGCACAGAUGUCCAUGAGCGAGGCAGUCAACUCAGAGUCCAGAAGCAGAUGUUGAAUAUUUUGUGGAUGGUUCUUGUUUCAGGGACUAUUUGGGUAAUCAUGCAGGGUUUUCAGUGGUGAGAAGACAGAAUGAGGACUUUGUGACGGUAAUUUCACAGGAUUGUAAGCAACCAUGUUCUGCUCAGUUGGCUGAAUUGAAAGCUCUUAUUGCAGCAUGUCAGUUAGCUAAAGGUCAAAUCGCAAAUAUAUAUACCGACUCCGCUUAUGCUCAUGGUGUUUGUCAUUUAUUUGGAGCUGUCUGGAUGCAGAGAGGAUUUAAGAAAAGUGAUGGGACAUGCUCAGCAAAUAGUUCAGCUGAUUUCAGCUAUGAUGCAUCCAAGGUGUUUAGCAGAUAUCAAAUGCCAGGCACAUAAGAAAGGAAAUGAUUUUGUUAUCAAAGGCAACAAUGCUGCAGAAGUAGAAGCUAAAAAAGCUUCAGGGUGCCAGGUAGCAGUAAUGGCCCCAAUGGUACUCAUUCAGCCUGAGCGCAAUUUGGAUGAUAUUGUUCGCAUUCAAGGACAGGCACAUGCUUAUGAGCAUUCAGUGUGGCUUCAGAGAGGAGCUACUAGAGAUGUAAAUGGUAUAUGGCGCUCACAUGAAGGACUUUUAAUUGCACCCACAGCACUUCUCACCGUAUUCAUUUCAGAUGCUCAUGGCUUCGACCACUGUGGAAGGGGGGAGGUAUUACAGAAAAUAACACAACAGGGUUAUUGGUCUCCAUAUCUACAGGCUAUGGUAGAUCAUUUCUUAUCUGAAUGUGAGGUCUGUGCACAGAAUAAUGUCAGGAAGGGAACAUCAGCACCAAUGGGGCACAUACCAGUACCAGAAGGACCAUUCAAACAUCUGGUAAUAGAUUAUGUAGACAUGGUAAGAAGUGUAGGAGGAAAAAGGUAUCUGUUGGUGAUGAUAGGUUCAGUAGGUGGGUAGAAGCUGUGCCAUCAAAAGAUCAGGCUGCAGGAACAGUGAUUAUGUUUCUGACAAGAGAAGUGAUUCCUAGAUUUGUCAGAUAAGUUCUGACAAUGGUUCGGCAUUUGUUGUGUUGCAGCAGUUAAGAAUAAAACAGCGUUUGGGGUGUGUUUAUCAUCCUCAGUCACAAGGAAUGGUGGAGAGGGCGAAUGGUACUUUUAAGGCUAAACUUAAUAAGAUAUGUGCUGAUACAAAACUGAAUUGGGUUGAUGCUUUACCUCUUUCUCUGAGGAGUUAUCACAUGCAGACCAAUAGAAUUACUAACCUGUCACCACAUGAAAUGCUCACGGGUCGACCCAUGCCUGUGCCAUAUUUGAGGGGUCCUUAUGAUGGACCACCUCUGGAGCAGUUACAAAAGGAACUGAGAGCUUACAUGCGUCAACUAACCGCAAUACAUGAAGCUAUCUGUUCACAGGAACAAAGCAGGGAGCCAAGAGAAGACGCUGAAGUGCCGUGUCCAGUUGUUCCUGGAGAUAAAGUAUACCUAAGAGUGUCCAGACGAAAGUGGAAUGAGUCUAGAAGAGAAGGACCAUACAGAGUGGUAAGAGCGACGCCAACAGCAGUGCAGGUCAGACGUUUCCUGUAGUUGGCCACCAGGUUUGCACACAUCUCAGGAGGGAUUUUGUCCCACUCCUCUUUGCAGAUCCUCUCCAAGUCAUUAAGGUUUCGAGGCUGACAUUUGACAGCUCGAACCUUCAGCUUCCUCCACAGAUUUUCUAUGGGAUUAAGGUCUGGAGACUGUCAAGGCCACUCCAGGACCUUAAUGUGCUUCUUUUUGAGCCACUCCUUUGUUGCCUUGGCUGUGUGUUUUGGGUCAUUGUCAUGCUGGAAUACCCAUCCAUGACCCAUUUUCAAUGCCCUGGCUGAGGGAAGGAGGUUCUCACCCAAGAUUUGAUGGUACAUGACCCCGUCCAUCAUCCCUUUGAUGCAGUUGUCCUGUCCACUUAGCAGAAAAACACCCCCAAAGCAUAAUGUUUCCACCUUCAUGUUUGACGGUGGGGAUGGUGUUCUUAGGGUUAUAGACAGCAUUCCUCCACCUCCAAACACGGCAAGUUGAGUUGAUGCCAAAGAGCUCGAUUUUGGUCUCAUCUGACCACAACACUUUCACCCAGUUCUCCUCUGAAUCAUUCAGAUGUUCACUGGCAUACUUCAGACAGGCCUGUACGUGUGCUUUCUUGAGCAGCGGGACCUUGCAGGCGCUGCAGGAUUUCAGUCCUUCACGGCGUAGUGUGUUACCAAUUGUUUUCUUGGUGACUAUGGUCCCAACUGCCUUGAGAUCAUUGACAAGAUCCUUCCGUGUAGUUCUGGGCUGAUUCCUCACCAUUCUCAUGAUCAUUGAAACUCCACGAGGUGAGAUCUUGCAUGGAGCCCCAGAUCGAGGGAGACUGACAGUUAUUUUGUGUUUCUUCCAUUUGCGAAUAAUCGCACCAACUGUUGUCACCUUCUCACCAAGCUGCUUGGCGAUGGUCUUGUAGCCCAUUCCAGCCUUGUGUAGGUCUACAAUCUUGUCCCUGACAUCUUUGGACAGCUCUUUGGUCUUGGCCAUGGUGGAGAGUUUGGAAUCUGAUUGAUUGAUUGCUUCUGUGGACAGGUGUCUUUUAUACAGGUACGUUACCUGUAUAAAAGACACCUGGGAGCCAGAAAUCUUGCUGAUUGAUAGGGGAUCAAAUACUUAUUUCGCUCAUUAAAGUGUAAAUCAAUUUAUAACUUUUUUGAAAUGUGUUUUUCUGGAUUUUUUUGUUGUUAUUCUGUCUCUCACUGUUAAAAUAAACCUACCAUUAAAAUUAUAGACUGAUCAUUUCUUUGUCACUGGGCAAAUGUACAAAUUAUCAAAUAAUUUUUUCCCUCACUGUAUAUAUAAUAACUACUUCACAAAUUAUUCUCCUCAAAAGUUUACACACCUGUAACUCUUGAUAUUGAGCAUUAAGUAGCCUUUUGUGAUAGUUAUGUACGAGUCCCUCAACUGUCCUGAGUGGCAAAGAACCACCAGAUGCUGCAUUAGGUGUAAACUUACAAGUCGAGCUGUAUAUAAAUAUUGACUUACCUUGUAUGUUUUUUUCACAUUUUCCCACUUUUUACCUGCAGGUGAUACCACACCCAUCAGGCAGAUCUCCCUUCAAGGUUCAAGGUUCUUUAUUUGUCACAUACAUAUUACAUACAUGUGAUGUAAUAUAGUGAAAUGUUUUUCCUUAGUGCCUCGUCUCACAGUGCAACAAUAAUAAAAACAGAAUAAAAUAAAAUGAAAACUAGUAGACUAUUAUGUAAAAAAGUUUAGCAGCCUUUAGUACUGUUCAGUAGUAGAUAUAACGUAAUGAUUUAUGCAUUAAAAAUUACACAUCAAUUAAACCUCAACUGUAUUAGUUCAUGAAAAAAUUAAUCUUGAAACUCACUCCCAUCCAAGCUGGGCAGCUCUUUGGUCUGAAGAGAUGUCAUUUGAUUUGUACAGUUGCAAAUUUAAAAGCUACAGCGCACACUAUUAAAAUAACUGAAAUAAUUACUGAAAAUAAUUACUGUGCCAAUCAAUCUGUAUCAUUUCUCUUCGAAAUAUCUUGAUACAGAUGUACUUUAAUUAAUAAAAAUUACACUUACUUUUGUAAAAGUUGCCACCUCUGCUGUUGCUAGCCACCAUAUUUAAUUUUCUUUUGUGCUCUAUCGCCAUCUUGUGUUGGAAUAUUUAAAAUAGUGCGUUGCAGAGUGUACAUUUGAUGUCCACUGUGGGAAUAAAUGAAUGAAUGUAGGGAAUGAAGAUGUUCACUCAGAAUUUGGACACCACUACAAAAUGGCAGACACCUGAUAUAAUGCACUAUAUAGGAGAUAGGGAGCAGUUUCGGACACAGUUUAAGCCUAAGUUUCCAUGCACACUACGUUUGUUCUUGAUCUCAUUCUGUCUUUUGGUUUUGUAUCUUUGGAUAUUGCUUUGACAAUGCUGCUCGUAGAUUGCCCAACCUCUGACUGUUCCCUAUUUUUGAUCUGACUGUUCGCAUUUUGGAUCUGUCUGCCUGCACUUUAAUAAAACUCCUUUAACUGCACUUGCAUCUGUCUCCACACACCCAACAUGAAAGAAUACUUUGCCUUCAUCAUGGAUGCAGCAGGAAGACGAGAGAAGAGCAACGCCGGGAUCAUCAUCCUGGAGUUUGACUUAGUCCAAUUCCCACAGUGGCUCGACAUCGAAACCCCGACCCCCUUCAAUGGCACAGAAAACCAGCUGAAAGGAUUUUUGCUCCAGAGUCAAUUUUAUUUUGAGAGCCUGUUGAACCCCAAGCCCAAAGAGAAGCAGGGGCUGAGGUUCUUGUUGUACCAGUUCACCAGUGGAGCCUGCCAGUGGGUGGAGCUUCUGUUUGCUACGGGAACCUUGGAAGCAUGGCUGAGUUCAUAUCUCUGAUGAGAGUGAUUUACGGGAGGGCCGACUUUAAUUUCAAUCUAGAACAUUUUUUGGGGAGGGCCAGUCUGACGGUUGAACCCGCUUGGCCAUUCUCCAGGUAGUAUGGUGAGGAAGGCUGGAGACAAAGAGGAAGCGAAGUCUCCAACAAAGCUCCAGCCGAGGCCCAAGGGGCGGCCAUCCCCACUGAGCUCCGUCCAGAAGCUGACUGGGCGGCCUCCCCUGCUGAGCUCCCUCCCGAGGCCAGCGGGGCAGCCUCCCCCCGCAGAGCUCCCUCCAGAGGCCGACGUGGUGGCCUUCCCUCUCAGUGCUCCCUCUAGAGGCUGACGGGGCGGCCUCCCCCAAAGAGCUCCCACCUGAGGCCGACGGCAUGGCCUCCCAAAUCUUGCUUCCACCUGAGGCUGACGGCACGGCCUCCCAAGUCCUGUUCCCGCCAAAGGCCAACGGCGCAGCCUGUUUUUGACUUUGAUUCACGUUUUGGAUCUGUCUGGCUGCCCUUUAAUAUAACACCUUUAACUGCACUUGCAUCCAUUUCCACUUGCGCUACGUGACAAAAUUAUCCCAGGAAACCAUUGAGGUAUGCUUUUGUAUUCAACAAACUUUAAAGUAGCAAUAACUCACAUUAUUAAAUCUGAAUAACACAAAUAGUUUUGCCAAUUUUUUCAGGGAAUGUUCUAUUACUGGACAUUUUCAAAAACAAGGCAGCUGGUAAAAAACAAGUGCAAUGUCUAACAAACAAAAAUGGAGGUGGUCCCGGUAAUAGUGAUAGUGGUAACAGGUAAUAGUGAUAGUACUUCAGGUCCAUGUGUAUUGUCUGUGACUCAUGAAGAUGAUGUUAAAAUUACUUUAUGAAAAUUACUAUUUUACAAGCUAUUUUCCAGACUCAUAUAUCAAAGCCUCCCCGAAAUGCCGGCUUGUCGCUGAGACAUCACAUACUCAAACUGAGGACACAACAAAUAAAAAGAGGGCACACACAAAGCCAAAGAGGUUUCAGUCUGAAACUGAAAUCUCCUCAGAUGGUAAGUGUUCAAAUCACUUACAUUAAAAUGAUUUUUUUGUUUUUUUUUACAUUUACAGUAGGGGUGUUACGUGUUUUCUAGAUGCAAUGAUUACUAAUCCUGCUGAUCCAUAUGCAUCGAUCUUGAAGUAUGAUGUUUGAUCUAAUAAUCUUUAGUGCCGGUUGAUUAUCGAUUUAAAAUCGAUAUGAAUCAAUAAAAAUCAAAUGCAUUGCAAUUAUUUUAUGUAGGUUACACUAUUUAGACAAAUUAGUACUGUAGAUUAUCUUAGCAAACCGGUGCAAAUGGCAGGCACAAUGUAUUAUGUCAUUACUCUCAGACUUCAGCCAGUUUAUUAGCUAAAGCAGCGUGUGAGAGUGAGCUCGGGUGGCAUGCUACCAUGGAUGCUAAAGGAGAGCCUGAAAUCUGCAAGGCACCAGCUAAUAUGAAAUCAAAAGUUUGGGAACACUUUGGUUCAAAUUAAAACAGGACAUGUGUACUAGGUGGAACAGCUCCGUAGAAAUGCUUGAGCACUUCUUGAAGCAGCAACCGGCAACGUUAAUGUCAAAGAACUUGCGGAGAGGAACAGAAGUUCACACUCUCUCAGAAAUGGACAUCAGUAAUGCUGAAAAUAUUGUGAAAGUGAUGGAACCCAUUAAGAUUGCUACUACUGUGAUGUGUGAAGAAGAACAGCCAACAGUGUCUGUGAUUGCACCACUCCAGGCUAAAUUAAUGAAACAUCUUGAACCUUGUGAGAAUGACACAGACAUGAGUCAAGAAAUGAAGUCUGUGAUGAAUGUGGACCUUUCAUCUUGGUACACAAACAUUUGCAACGCUCUGCUUAAAGAUCCAUGUUACAAAGAGCUUGAAGAAAAAGAGUGCAUCUUUCUUAAACUGACUCUUGAGGCCUCAGACAGUACUCAACACGGAGUGUGGCCAAAGAAGUUGGUUGCUCCCAGUCAGCUGUGUCUAAAAUUUGUUGCAAGUAUAAACUUAAUGGGAAGGUUAUGAAAGGUAGAUAUACAGGCAGACUAAGGAAGAUGUCAAAGCAUCAGGAUAGAAAACUCAAAGCACUAUGCCUUGAAAAUAGAAAAUGCACAACAAAACAAAUGAAAAACAAAUGGGCGGAAAUAGGAGUCAAUGUUUGUGACAGAACUGUAAGAAACCGGCUGAAUGAAAUGAGAUUUCCAUAUAGAAAAGCCAAAAGAAAACCAGCACUAACACCAAAACAGAAGAAAACAAGGUUACAGUGGGCUAAGGAGAAGCAAUCAUGGAGUGUGGAUGAUUGGAUGAAAGUGAAAUUCAGUGAUGAAUCAUGAAUCUGCAUUGGCCAAGGAGAUGAUGCUGGAACUUUUGUCUGGUGCCAUUCUAACAAAACAUAUAAAGAUGACUGCCUGAACCAAUCAAAUUUCCCAACUCAUUUAUGAUAUUGGGUUGCAUGUCAGGUAAAGGACCAGGGGAGAUGGCAGUCAUUACCUCAGCAGUCAAUGCACAGUUGUACUGUGAAAUUUUGGACAUUUUCUCAUUCCACCCAUAGAAAAUAGGUUUGGUGAUGAUGAAAUAAUUUUUCAGGAUGACAAUGCAUCUUGGCACAGAGCAAACAGUUUUAAAGCUUUUUUUAAGGAAAGGCAUAUCAACUCAAUGACAUGGCCAGCAGUCCGGAUCUCAAUCCAAUUGAAAAUUUAUGGUGGAAAGUAAAAAAACUGGUCCAUGUUAAGGCUCCACCCUGCAAAGCUGAUCUGUCAACUGCUAUUUGAGAAAGUUGGAACCAGAUUGAUGGGGAAUAUUGUUUUUCAUUAGAGAGGUCUAUGCCUCAAAGAAUAAAAGCCAGAGGAGGAGCAACAAAGUAUUAAUUGUGUUUUUUUUGUUUAUAAUUCCAUAAUUUUUUCCUCAACAUUGAGUGAUUCCAUAAUUUUUUCCUCUACUUGAUUUGGAAAAAGACAUGCCAUUAAUAAAAAAAAAUGUCCUUGAAUUUUUUUUAUGUAUAUUUCACAAACCAGAAUGUUAAGCUAUUGAACAAAACCUUUUUUGUGUCAUAUCUGUGAUUUGUUUGUUUGCUAUAAAGUAAAAAAGCUGGGUGAACAUCCUCUAAGUGUGGUGAUUCCAUAAUUUUUGCCAGGGGUUGUAUAUAUCCUACAAGCACAAAACAUGUAUCCCAGAGUGCCCCUUAAUACCCUCUUCCACAGCGACAUCUAGCGGUGACUAAAAGCGGACAUGAAAUAUAUUAAAAAAAUUUAAAUCUUAAAAAUUUAAGAAAUGGUACUAUUACGGUAUUAAACUAUUGCUAAAGAACAUUUGUUAACAACUAAGAAAUGUUGUUAAUAAUAAUAAUAAUAAUAAUAAUAAUAAUAAUAAAACCACAAAAUAACAUCUUCACAUAAUCAGUGUCAUCAAUAACACUACAUUUCUUUUGCAGUUUUUGUAAUUGCAUGUAAUUUUGAUGUUGAUACUUUACAACCACACACAAUUCCCAAUUGUGACUUAAUACGAAGACUUAAUAUCAGACAAACAUGCUGAUAAUGAGCUUAAGCCUUUUUUGUCAUUUUUUUUUUAAGGACAAAUAAAUUUGUGUGUCAUCAGCAUAAAAAUGAAAGGAUACCCCAUGUUUAGAAAGAAUAGUACUUAAAGGCAGCAUAUACAACGAGAACAAAACAGGGGCCAAAAUUGAGCCCUGAGGGACUCCAUAUUCCAAAACAGAAACAGAUGAAGAAAACCCAUCAAGACAGACUGAAAAAGUUCUAUCAUUCAGAUAGGACUUAAACCAAUUAAGAGCACAACCUUCAAUACCCACACAUUGUUCGAGUAGUGAGUUAAGAAUUCUGUGGUCCACAGUAUCAAAGGCACUUAAAUCUAAAAGUAUUAGUACCACGGAAUCCCCUGAGUCAGCAGACAACAAAAUAUCAUUAAAAACUUUUAAUAAAGCUGACUCAGUACUGUGAUAUUUCUUAAAUCCAUAUUGAAAUUCUUCAAAGACACUAUUUAGCUCCAGAAAACUCUGCAGUUGUUCCAACACAACUUUCUCUAUGAUUUUAGAAAUAAAAGAUAAAUUUGAAAUAGGACUGUAAUUGGAGAGAAUGUUUGGGUCAAGAUUUGAUUUUUUAAGCAAAGGUUUAACAGUUGCAUGUUUUAGGUAUCUAGGAACCUAUUGCAGAGGUGAUCGAGCCUUCGCUGUUGCCGGUCCUAGUCUUUGGAACAAAUUACCAGCUUCUAUUAGAGCUCCACCCUCUUUGCCAGUAUUCAAAUACCUGCUUAAAAAACAUCUUUUGUCAAUAGCUUUUACCUAGCCAUGUCAAUUGUAUUGCUAUAUUGUGUUUUGAUGUUGUGUGGUUUCUUAUUUGUUUGUUUUUUUUUUUAGUUGUAUUGUACAGCACUUUGGAUCAACCAUUAGUUGUGUGAAAGUGCUUUAUAAAUACUGUUGAAACCAGAUAUUUACAUACACUUCAGAAAAAAACACAAAAACUUUUUUUUCUUUACUGUCAAACAUUAAAUCAGAGUAAACUUUUUCUGUUUUAGAUCAAUAAAUAUUAACAUAUUUUUUGCAUUUGUUAAAUGUCAGAAUCGA